GCUGGAAUAGCUCAGUUGGUAGAGCAGCUGUCUCGUAAUCAGCAGGUCGUAGGUUCAAGUCCUAUUUCCAGCA
rnacentral:tRNA from 1 species